GUGUUAAACAAGCCCAAAAAGCCACUGGCAGAAUUCGGUGGGAUUUCAAAUCCAACCGGACCAAGGAAGAAUGCAAGCCCAUGGCCAUAUUUAGAAGCUCCUCGGGUGUCAAUGUUGAAAGAGAAAUGGGACGUGAAAUCAGAAAGUUUCCCUGUGGUUGAGUCCCAUAGCAUGAUCCUUUCAGCAUAGACGGCCCAACCAACACGGCAUGUAUAGUCGUACUUGCUGAUUAAUUCAACGACGCCACCAGAUGAAGGCGCAGCAUCACCGUGAUAAAGAACGAUGUUUACCUCAGGACCAAAGCGAGGUAUAUUGAAGUGAACAGAAAUAGCUAAUGGAAGAAGUGGAAGGAAGAAAAAAAGCAAACGCAUAGUGAGGAAGUACCACAGAACGAGAUGGCCUGGCAAAAAGAAUUAGAGAGGCAUUCAGCUGAGCCACU
rnacentral:misc_RNA from 1 species